UACGUAGGCAGCGAGCGUUGUUCGGAGUUACUGGGCGUAAAGGGUGCGUAGGCGGCCGAUUAAGUUUGUCGUGAAAUCUCCCGGCUUAACUGGGAGGGUGCGGCGAAUACUGACCGGCUCGAGUGUGGGAGAGGAGAGUGGAAUUCCUGGUGUAGCGGUGAAAUGCGUAGAUAUCAGGAGGAACACCGGCGGUGUAGACGGCUCUCUGGACCAUAACUGACGCUGAGGCACGAAAGCGUGGGUAGCAAACAGG
rnacentral:rRNA from 1 species